rnacentral:rRNA from 1 species
UACGAAGGGGGCUAGCGUUGUUCGGAAUUACUGGGCGUAAAGCGCGCGCAGGCGGUUCUUCAAGUCAGAGGUGAAAGCCCAGAGCUCAACUCUGGAAUGGCCUUUGAGACUAGAGAACUAGGGUACGGGAGAGGUGAGUGGAAUUCCGAGUGUAGAGGUGAAAUUCGUAGAUAUUCGGAAGAACACCAGUGGCGAAGGCGGCUCACUGGCCCGUUACCGACGCUCAGGCGCGACAGCGUGGGGAGCAAACAGGG